rnacentral:rRNA from 1 species
AUCGAACGCUGGCGGCAGGCCUAACACAUGCAAGUCGAACGAGUGGCGGACGGGUGAGUAAUGUCUGGGAAACUGCCUGAUGGAGGGGGAUAACUACUGGAAACGGUAGCUACUACCGCAUACAAUCAGAUGUGCCCACAUGGGAUUAGCUAGUUGGUGGGGUAAAGGCUCACCAAGGCGACGAUCCCUAGCUGGUCCGAGAGGAUGACCGGCCACACUGGAACUGAGACACGGCCCAGACUCCUACGGGAGGCAGCAGUGGGGAAUAUUGGACAAUGGGCGCAAGCCUGAUGCAGCCAUGCCGCGUGUAUGAAGAAGGCCUUCGGGUUGUAAAGUACUGUCAUUGGGGAGGCGUUACCCGCAGAAGAAGCACCGGCUAACUCCGUGCCAGCAGACGCGGUAAUUC